CCUUAGCAACAAAUUAUUUAAGGGAAAAAAGUGGUGGUUGGGAGAGGGCUGGUUUCUAAAGAGAUUACUGAUGAUCUAUAAGGAUCAGAAAGCAUGAGAACUUAAAAGAUUCUUUUCCAAAUCUAUUUUUUACAGCUCUUCAGGGCUGAAGACGUGUUAGCUAAUAAAGAGGCAUUGGACUUGCUGACAUGGGAAGGUUUUCAUGUCUGGUUCUCACUCACUGAAACAUGAGUUUCAGAACUCUAUAUACUCCUUUCACCCAGACUUUCAAAGCAAUGUUUUUUCUAAGGUUGGUUCUAACACCUCACGAUGAAUCCGAGCAGCAUUUCCCAAAGUGUUCUCUGGGGAAUUUGAGAGGGACCUCAAGAAAAGGGUUCUGGGUUCUGUGGUCAAUUAGUUUUGGAAAUUCUGCUUAAAAAAAAAAAAAAGACCUCCCACUGGAAGAUUUACUGUGCACUUGAGCAUUUAAACAUCUUCUUCCCUAUAAAAGCAGAAGCCAUGCUUCGCCUUUUCUAUGCUUUCCUGUGGGCAAAAUCUACUUUCUGGCCACACUGGAAGGCUUGGCCAUAGGACUUGCCUUUGCCAGUAGAAUACUAGCAAAUAUUUUGUGAAAGUGUUAGUUGUUAAGUCGUGUCCAACUCUUUGGCACCUCAUGGACUGCAGCACGCCAGGCUCCUCUGUCCAUGUAAUUCUCCAGGCAAGAAUACUGGAGUGGGUUCAGUUCAGUUCAGUUGCUCAGUCGUGUCCAACUCUGCAACUCCAUGGACUGAAGCAUACCAGGCUUCCCUGUCCAUCACCAACUCCUGGAGCUUGCUCAAACUCAUGUCCAUCGAGUCAGUGAUGCCAUCCAAUCCUCUCAUCCUCUGUCAUCCACUUCUGCCUUCAAUCUUUCCUAGCAUCAGGGUCUUUUCCAGUGAGUCAAAUCUUCUCAUCAGGUGGCCAAAAUAUUGGAGAUUAAGCUACAGCAUCAGUCCUUCCAAUGAAUAUUCAGGACAGAUUUCCUUUAGGAUGGACUGGUUUGAUCUCCUUGCAGUCUAAGGGACUCUCAAGAGUCUUCUCCAACGCCACAGUUCAAAAGCAUCAAUUCUUCAGUGCUCAGCUUUUUUUUUUUUUUUAACUGAAGGAUAAUUGCCUUACAGAAUUUUGUUGUUUUCUGUCAAACCUCAACAUGAUGGUCCAAUUCUCACAUCCAUACACAACUACUGGAAAACCAUAGCUUUGACUAUACAGACCUUUGUAGGCAAGGUAAUGUCUCUGCUUUUUGAUAUGCUUUCUAUGUUUGUCAUAGCUUUUCUUCCAAGGAACAAGCAUCUUAAUUUCAUGGCUGCAGUCACCAUCUGGUCUGGAGUGAGUAGCCAUUCCCUUCUCCAGGGAAUCUUCCUGACCCAGGGAUCAAGCCUGGGUCUCCCACAUUGCAGGCAGAUUCCUUGCCAUCUGAGCCACCAGGGAAGCCCCCAGUAUUAUGUAGACCAUAUCUAAGCAGAAGCUUUGGAUGUGCUUGAAUAAUUUGGGUCAAUUUCUUUGUUCCUCCCCCCUGCCAUGGGAAGAAUGUGUCCCAGAUAAGGACAGCUGCUUCAACGUAAGUCCUAGAACA
ensembl:lncRNA